AUUGAACGCUGGCGGAAUGCUUUACACAUGCAAGUCGAACGGCAGCACGGACUUCGGUCUGGUGGCGAGUGGCGAACGGGUGAGUAAUAUAUCGGAACGUGCCCAGUCGUGGGGGAUAACGUAGUGAAAAUUACGCUAAUACCGCAUACGAUCUAUGGAUGAAAGCGGGGGAUCGCAAGACCUCGCGCGAUUGGAGCGGCCGAUAUCAGAUUAGGUAGUUGGUGGGGUAAAGGCUCACCAAGCCAACGAUCUGUAGCUGGUCUGAGAGGACGACCAGCCACACUGGAACUGAGACACGGUCCAGACUCCUACGGGAGGCAGCAGUGGGGAAUUUUGGACAAUGGACGCAAGUCUGAUCCAGCCAUUCCGCGUGCAGGACGAAGGCCUUCGGGUUGUAAACUGCUUUUGUACAGAACGAAAAGGUCUCUAUUAAUACUAGGGGCUCAUGACGGUACUGUAAGAAUAAGCACCGGCUAACUACGUG
rnacentral:rRNA from 1 species